rnacentral:rRNA from 1 species
ACUGAAACAUCUAAGUAACCGGAGGAGAAGAAAAUAAUAAUGAUUUCCGUAGUAGCGGCGAGCGAACCGGAAUUAGCCCAAACCAGCGUUGUUUCGGCAAUGUUGGGGUUGUAGGACUACAAUAUAGACUUAUAAAGUAUAAUGGAAUUGUCUGGAAAGUCAUGCCAUAGAAGGUGAAAGCCCUGUACAUGAAAUAUUUUAUAUACUUAGUAGUAUCCUGAGUAGGGCGGAACACGUGAAAUUCUGUCUGAAUCUGCCGGGACCAUCCGGUAAGGCUAAAUACUCCUAGAAAACCGAUAGUGAACAAGUACCGUGAGGGAAAGGUGAAAAGAACCCUGAACAAGGGAGUGAAAUAGAUCCUGAAACCGUGCGCCUACAAGCGGUCGGAGCCUACGGGUGACGGCGUGCCUUUUGCAUAAUGAUCCUACGAGUUACUCCUCACUAGCAAGAUUAAGUUAUUCAGUAACGUAGUCGAAGCGAAAGCAAGUCUUAACAGGGCGCAUAAGUUAGUGGGGGUAGACGCGAAACCUUGUGAUCUACCCAUGAUCAGGUUGAAGCUCUGGUAACACAGAGUGGAGGACCGAACCAGUUGACGUUGAAAAGUCUUUGGAUGAAUUGUGGGUAGGGGUGAAAGGCCAAUCAAACUAGGAAAUAGCUCGUACUCCCCGAAAUGCAUUUAGGUGCAGCGUUGUGGUAGAGUCUUAUAGAGGUAGAGCUACUGAUUGGGCUAGGGGGCUUCACCGCCUACCAAACCCUGACAAACUCCGAAUGCUAUAAGAUAUACACAGCAGUGAGG